GACUGCUCUGGUGGCCUUGUGGUUAAAGUGUCCGCCUUGGAUGCGGGAGUAAGUGGGUUCGAUACCCGGCCGAGUCA